ACGACUUAGUCUUAAUUCUAAAUGUUGGAUUUCUUUGUCAACUUAAGAAAAAAUGUUGAAUUUUAAUUUUAAUUUUAAUUUUAAACUGCCAUACUCAGUCUUGCACUCUUAAUCAUAUAUACCCAAAUUAAUGUUUCUUUGUCAACUUAAGAAAAAAUGUUGAAUUUUAAUUUUGGAGAGAUUAUGGUAACAAGUUGACAAAUUUCAAGUUCCCUGCAAAUUCUAGACAUUAAUUACGUCUAUAGACAACUCUUCAAAUUUUUGAUUCUCAAUGAUAAUACAUUUCAAAUUUUACCAAAGGAGAUGUUUAGAACUCAAUGACUUGGAUGAAGUGUCACAUUUUAACGACUCUAAUAAGAUGUCACUAUUUAAUGACUAUUUUUAAUAUCACUAAAAUUAUGACAUAAUGAAACGGUUGGAGCGUUGGAAAAGCUUGAAAUUUUCCAUCAAAGUCGUCCCUUUUUUAUUUCAACAUAUUUCAUGACUAUUUUCUUUACCGACAUGAACAAAUUAAUAUCCUUUCAAUGAAAUAAUAAACAAUGGAUUUCUUCCUAUUGAUCUUAAGCCUAGGAAACUUUGUAGCUUAGCAGCAAGUGAGGUUGAAAGUUGAUGAUACAAUAUUCCAAAGCAUUGAAGAUAAGAAGCUAAAAUAGAGGAAAGAAGAGAGAGAAGGAGAAAAAUAACGUUAGGGGCUAUAGAUAUGACAUUUGAUCCGCAUGGUUUGCUUGAAAUAACCAUGCAACGUUGUGUGGCCCUUUCACAUGAUGGCGUCACAAUGAUAGGACAGUGUGUAGCAGCAACGUCUCUUCUUUUGUUGCCUUCUUCCUUCGGUGGCGCGACGUCUACCCUUGAAGCCAUUUUCGUCCUUUUCUCUUCCAUUUGAUAGGGUUGGUUUCAUUUUGACUCUUUGCAUGCAUUCAUCUAUUUUAGCUCCAUGUUCUAGCUAAUGCUCCAUUUUAUCUUCUUGGUGCCAAUACCUAUAAGAUAACCAAUUUAUAACAAUUAAAGAACAUAAUAAUCCUAAGUUAAGUUAAGUGGAAUAACACAAUUCUCAAGUAUAUGUUGAAUUUACUUGUAAUAUAUUAGAAAAUAUAUCUACACAAUGUAAACCAUAUAUCAUUUACUAAAACUAGAAGACAAACUAUUGCUCCGAUAAGAAAGAUAUACACUAAGCACCGAGAAAUAAGAAAAAAUUGGAGAAUAUAUGUUGUAUAUAUGAAAUAUACCUUAUAUUUUUAUUCGAAAUAUAUAUAUGUUGAUUCUUAAUGAUACAUGAGUGCAACGAUUUUUAGAUUUUAAAAAAACCUUUUCUUGCUUAUUAUUAGUUUUAAAAAGAAAACUACAUGUAGGGAAAGUAUUAUGAUAGACGUACACAUAUAGUAAUCUAUCUUGAGCAGAUCCUGCUAUAUUUAUAAAUAAUUUCUGGAGUUAAGCUUUUUGGUGGAAGAUGGAUGGAAGUAAUUAGAGAUGAACGACCGUUGUCGAAAAAAUCUAGCAUUUCCCUUACUCUUCCAGUAAGGAUCCUACAAGCGAUUGGUCCCAUGAGAGACACUAAAAAAAGAUCGAUUGAACCUAACCUCCUAAAGAUGAAGCAAAGGAAGAUAAGGAUCCGCCAAAGCUAAAUCAAUUGCUUAAUCUUCUUAUAAUUUGUGUUUAAUUAUAAAUAAAAUCAAACAAUCAAUGAGAGGCCUCAAUACAUCUCCUAUUAGUACUCUCGCAUCAUGCAACGUCAAUUCACAAUAAUAUACGAGCCAGCUGACCAAUCCAAGAGUUUCAAUCAUUGAGUGUAUGAAAUUUCUUUAAUUUGGAAUGCAAGGAAAAAUGUUUAAACUCUUUGGAGAGAGCCCAAACUCAUGUUAACCUGAAUAGAGUUGGAUUGGUUUCAACAUAUCCCUUCAAUCAAGAGGUUACAAGGUUUGAAGUUCCUCAAUCUGUAUGUUUAUUUAUCAAAUAACCAGGAUUGAUUUGUAGAACGUAAAGUAGAGAACAGAAACACGUGGUUUUAUUCAAAUUUCAUUCCCAAACGCUACAUAGUGUGAUUUGUACAAUUUGAUCAUUGCAGAUCUCAUCCCAUAAACUAAAAAACAGAGCAUCAAAGAUAGAAAUCAGCUUACAUGCCAAUACUUGGAAACACAGUGGUCAAUACAACUAUUUUUACACAUAUUCAGCUCAGAUUCCUUGUACCUGAAAUAAAAUAGAUGGUAGUUGUUGAAUGACAAAAGACCAUGCAUAAAUCUCAAAAUGAAUAAUAAGAUAGAAUCAAUCUUAUAAUGCUAAAAGCAACAGCCAUGAGAAAUUGAAUUCUAUGGUUGGAAAGCAUGCAAUAUUCAAGAUUAGACAACUGUCCAACCUCUUGUCAACACAGUUAUCAAAACAUGAUUGCGUUAGCCUGAAAGACAAAAAAACUAAUUAGGUAUGAGGUUCAAAGUCGCAGCUUCCAUUCAAUCAAUGAAAAAAAUUAUCCUUCCACCAUCUCUCUCCUUCAUACCCUAACAAUUACAUUUUUCCAAUUUGGAGAAACCCACAACAAUAAUCUGCAAUUGAUCUGGGAUAUUCUCAAUGUACUCAAUCACAGUCCAACUACUAGAAUCCCAAAUCACAACUAUGAAUUUGCAAAACAAGAAAAAAAACCGAAUAAACAAUUAGAAACCAACCUGUUCCUUGUCUACAACUGAUGACAUAUUGUUCGCAGAAGCCACCGAGACUCUGAAUAAAAAAAAGAAAGAAAAUCACAACUCCAAAACUAGAUUACAACUACUUAAACUGGAUACUAUCUAUUUAAACAUAAACUAUAGAACAAGACAUUAAUGAGACAUAAAGAAGUUUGGUAAUUUUCUUUUGCUCCUCUCCUAGCUGCCUGCCAUGACAAGAAAUUUUAAUGUCUUGAGUUAAACAAACUAAAAGCAUAAUUACAGAAUCAGAGACGAACAUAAAAUUACACAAAUAAGGGUUCAGAUUUGAUCAUGAAACAGUGAGUAUAUAGAUUGAGUAACAAGCAAAAAAUGUUAUUUUCUGCAUUCCACUGUAUCUUAAGUGGCAAGGCUUGGCUUAAUUUACUAUAAGAAAAAGGUAGAUAUGAUCAAAAUUAUCCCUUACCCACAUCUAUGUGUUUUUGCUCUUUGCUACGUACUUUCUCAAUCAAAUGUUUGGUAACUUUGGUUAAUUUAAUGAAUUGACAUUUCCAAUCAAGAACUCAAUCUUUCAAUCAUUAUUUCAGACAUAGAAGAAAAAAAACUAUAAAAAAUAAGCAGUGAUCAAAUGGAAUAAAAUUAAAGCAAUUACAUAUACCAGAUAGCCAAAGAAUAUAGGAAAACUCAAAUGGUCAGAAAUCACAAAGUUUUGAGCAAGCAUCGUUUAAGAACUUGAAUGUUUUUAGAAGUGAAAGGGUCAAGAGGACAAGUUCUCUUAACUAGCAUGGUUUGGGUCUAGUGGUAAAAAAUGAAACAUAAUCUCAAUAAUUAGUCAAUAAUUAGCUAAGAGAUCAUGAAUUUGACCCAUGGUAAUCACCUACUUAUGAAUUAAUUUGUAGUUUUCUUUACACUUAAAUGUUGGGUGGUUUGACGGGUUGUCCAGAUUAGUUGGAUUAGACACUCGAAUAUAAAAAAAAGGAGAUAAGUUCUCUUUCAAAACCCGAUAACUUUUUAUAGGAAUUUUUAAAAGCUGUCAUUUCUACUUCUAGCUAUUUCCCUCCAUUCACACCUAUUCAUUUUUUAGUUCCAUCCAAUUCAAACUCUAGAACAGCUUGAUAAGUGUCUAAAUCAAAUACCUCCACAUUAAACAGUAAACAUUACUCAUAAACCAAUCCAUAAAUCACCAAAUAGAACCAAAAAAUUGUGUAAACCAAUCUAUUAAAAGAAAAGAAAAUAACUCCUCGAACUCAACAACAGUAUUAGAAACAAAUAUCGAUCAUUGAUGAUUUUAAUUAGUUGUGCCCUUUCGAACCACUUCCUUAAAAGCAAAAUUCGACGUGACAUCGUGCUAAAUCGCUUAUGCUGAUUGCUCCCAAGGUUAACACAACUUUCUCAACCUGCACUAACCGGAGUUGAGAGUUGAAAUCAAAAGAAAAAUUGAUCAGAGAAUAAGGAAUAACUAGGGUUUUUUCUUUUUGGCAAGAAGAAGAACUCCACUCUCAAUCUUUUCUUUACAAUAAUAUAUAUAUAUAUAUAUAUAUAUAUAUAUAUAUAUAUAUAUAUAUAUAUAAAUAUAUUUGAAUAAAAUAAAAUAAAAUAAAAAAUUAUUAUUAUAUAAUAAAAACUAAUUAUAAAACAAUACAACGUUGAUCAUUCUCAACAAUCUCCCACGAAUGACUACCAUAGCAUUCUAGUUAAAAUAGUAAGUAGUAUAAACUUAAACAUCAAUAUCUUUCGAUAUAAAGUGAUGUGUUGUGAGUGAGACAAUAAUCCAAUUAUCGAAAGUAAGUUACCUUCUGAACUUUCGAUAGCAACUGUUGAGACCCCAACAACAUGUUUUAUUUCUUAAAUUUUCAUUGAUUCCGUAAUAAAGUCUAUCACAGUAGACCACUCAAAAUUGUGCUAUUCAAGACCAUGCACAUUGUGAAAGCUCUAGAAAAAUAUCCUUAAACUUUUUCAUAGAAGGUGGUCACACCUUCACAAUCACAUUUAUUGCUUCAUCAAGUCUAUCACAAUAUUCCACUCAAACUGAGCUAUGAAAACUUCACAUAGUCCAUAUCAAGACCAACUUCAUCAAAUCUGUAAAAACAAACCACUCAAAACUGAGCUUUGAAGAUUUUACAGUUAUUCAUCAAGUCCAUACCCAGGACCACCCAAAGAAGAGCUAUGGAAUUUCAAAGGUUUUAAUUUCAUCAAUCAAAUCCAUUUAAGGAUUACCCACUCGUGGCUAUAGACCAUCAAGUCUACCACAAUAGACCACUUAGAAAAUGGCUAUGAACCAUCAAGUCUAUCGCAAUAAACCCUUCAAAUAAAGAACUAUGGACCAUCAAAUCUAUCACAAUAGACCAUCCAAAUAAAGGACCAUGAACCAUCAAGUCUAUCGCAAUAGACCCUUCAAAUAAAGAACUAUGGACCAUCAAAUCUAUCACAAUAGACCAUCCAAAUAAAGGACCAUGAACCAUCAAGUCUAUCGCAAUAGACCCUUCAAAUAAAGAACUAUGGACCAUCAAAUCUAUCACAAUAGACCACCCAAAUAAAAGACCAUGAACCAUCAAGUCUAUCGCAAUAGACCACCCAAAUAAAGUGCUAUGAAAACCACUAAAUGUUUGAGUCUUAUACUUGUUGAAAAUCCUAGAAUUGCUCUCUUUGUCAAGCCUUUGGUGAGUUGAUAUGCUAAAUUCGUUUAAGAUCUCACAUACUUGAAGAUAAUUCUUUCAUUCAACAACUAUUUCACAAUUCCAUGUUUCCUUGGAAUAUGCUUUCUUUUGUCAUAACACACUAUUUUUGACAAUACAAAUGAAUCUCAAGGAAGAUAUACGGGCCCUCCACAAUGGUAUUAAUGUCUAUCGAUAAAUCUUUGAUAAAUAAUAAGAAUACUCACCUAUUUUUAUUCUCUAUGGUUUAAUCACAAAUAUUUUGUGAAAGCAAAGUUAGAGGUAGAAGUAGACCAUUAGAGAAGCUAAUCCAAUCAAGCAGAGAAUUGAAGAGAACAGAAAUAGAAUUAAAAAAAGCAACAAAAUGAGUUCAAGGGCAGAGAUUACAUGGGUAGGUUUCAAAUGCAAGAAGAAAAAGCAAAAGGGUAUGGAGGUACACCGUUAAUUAAGCUGAAACAGAGUGAGAAUGGGUAGAAGUUUGAAGGUUGAGAAGGAAAGUUAUAGAAAGAAGGAGAUAGAGUGGCUGAAGUGAAAAGGGUGUGGGUGUGAAGGUUGAAGAAGUUGAGACGGUUGUUAAUGGAAGCAAGAUAGAGAGGAGGAGUGAUGGCAGAUGAGAGAAAAGAGGAACCACACCCGAGAGAGAAGAACAAAUGAAUUUGCCUUAGUAUAUUAUUUCUUUAAUUAUCAUAGUUCUAAAUUAGAAAACUUUCUAAAUUCUAAUUUGUAAAUAAUAACAAUAACAAUAAAUCUAUUUACACUUAAUAACAAAAAAAGAAAAAAAACAUUACACAUUUAUAAUUAAAAUAAUGGUUAAGAUUAGAAGAUUGGAGAAAAUAUUUAUAAUAAAUUUUGUUUAUAAAUAGUUUGCUAAUUUUUGUGAAAAAACUCCUAAAAUAAUUGUUCUUAAAUUUGAUUUAUUUUUAAUUACAACCUUGCUAUAAUCUCUCUUCCUGCUCCACUACAGCCCAGCCGCAGCCCCUCUCUUCGGUGAGCUUCUUUGAACCGCAUACGAACGGUGCCCACGACACCGUAUCGCCCAAGAGCACAGUGGCGGACUACACCCGACACGUUUGCUUGGCCAAUAGCUUGGAGCAACUGUGAGUGACGCCACCAACGUCUUCUGGCUUUUUUAGCACCGUUUUCUCUAGUUCAAGGAGUUUCGGUACUUACCCAUUCUAUUUCAACAUUAGAUUUGAGUUACCCACUUCUUAACGGCUCCAAACAUGUAGGAUUGAACGUAUUCGGACGCCAACCAGCAAAGUUUCAAGUCGUUUGGAUAAGUUUCUGCGGGGGUAAGAAUGGUCUAAAUUUCCUUUUGAACUUGUUUAAGAUCCUUUAUUUGGACACUUUUCACCCUUUUGGAUUAGAUUUAGAUGGUGUAAAUUAGUCUAUAACUCUUGGUAUGCUUAAUUUGUGGUUUAAGGUGAGAGAUUUUUGAGGUGGAUAAUUGAAGAAUCAUGAAACUAGUCUGUCUAAUUUUAUCUGUUAACUUCUCAUGAUUGAUAUUUCAAUUCUAUAAAGUUGGUGGAGAAAAGAUUUUAACUUCUUGGAUCCGUUGAUUAUGUAGAAUUUCGGCUUUUUUUUUUUUAUGUUAUCAAAUUUUUGGUUUAUUUUCUUUGAUAUUCUCAAUUUAUUUACCUUCAUUGCUAAUCAAGAUGGUAUUUUGUUUGGUUUUCUAUUUUUUAAAUAGCAAUGGAACAUGGAUCCUUCACAGAUGAGACCAAAUCAACAUUUUCUGUGGCUGAUGAAGAUCAUACACUUGCAAAUACUCUCAGAUACACUUUGAACCAAGAGUAUGACCUCUUAUUCAGUUAUUCUUGAGUGAAUAUUUUGAAAUGUUAACAUGACAUGGACAAGCCAAAGAAUUUGCAGUUCUUGGACUACUUAUCUUUUCUAACCAUUUCAUCACUGAUUUCUAUUAAUUCGUGACAUAACUAAUUAAACAGAUUCUUGGUUCUUGUGAACAUAUCAUCAAAAAGGUCCUUGAAAAGUUAAUUAGGAUCUAGCUGGUUUCGAUUAUUGUUAUUUAUUCUUUAGUAAAUCAUAUUCAGACAUACUUUUAAAUGGCUUGCAAUGAUCUUGCAGUCCAAGAGUGACAUUCUGUGGAUACAGCAUCCCUCAUCCUUCAGAUAAUCGAGUUAAUAUUCGAGUUCAGACAACAGGUAAUUUGUCUCUUUAAAAGUGGAGCCGAUUGGUUCCCAUUUAGGACAUGUUUUCUAAUGGUUAGAUUUGGUCUUUCUGUUUUUAUGCUUUAUACACAUCCAAUCUAUGCAUCCAUGAGAUAUAUAGCUUAUGGAUCUAUGGGAAGUGUGAUCCUCUUUAAAGAAAAAUCUUUCAGUAAAAUCACCUUGUUGCUUAGCUAGAACCAACCCCGUUAUUUUUAUAAGCAUAUAAAUAUAUGUUUUAGUAUUCAUAUGAAAGGUUGUAUCUAUUUAGUUUCAUAACUUUAACAAGAUUCAAUUGUCUAUUUAAAAUUUGAAUAGUUAACCAUCAUGGAUUGGUGUACUGGUUAAAAAGGAGAUAUAGUCUCAAUAGCUAAUUAAGACGUCAUGGGUUCAAUCCAUGGUGGCUACCUACCUAAGAGUUAAUUUUCUACGACUUGGCAAUUAGGACAUACCCACUAUUGUCUAAUCAACAAUAAUGUUAAUAACUAUGACUACACAUGACUAUACAUGAUUAAUUAUACUUGCAAAGUGUGCAAACCAUAUUUAAAACUUGAAAUACUUAGGCGCAACCAUAGUUGGAGUUCCAUUAUUGAUUACUAGGGAAAACAAAGCACAUGGAAAUAUGGUAGGAGCAAUAUAGCAAACAGAAGACUAUCAGCAAUUUAGCAUUACUGAAAGAAAGGUUAAUUAUGG
rnacentral:lncRNA from 1 species